GACGAACGCUGGCGGCGUGCCUAAUACAUGCAAGUCGAACGAGAGCAACCGGUGCUUGCACUGGUCAAUCUAGUGGCGAACGGGUGAGUAACACGUGGGUAACCUGCCCAUCAGAGGGGGAUAACAUCCGGAAACGGAUGCUAAAACCGCAUAGGUCUUCGAACCGCAUGGUUUGAAGAGGAAAAGAGGCGCAAGCUUCUGCUGAUGGAUGGACCCGCGGUGCAUUAGCUAGAUGGUGAGGUAACGGCUCACCAAGGCCGUGAUGCAUAGCCGACCUGAGAGGGUGAUCGGCCACAUUGGGACUGAGACACGGCCCAAACUCCUACGGGAGGCAGCAGUAGGGAAUCUUCCGCAAUGGACGCAAGUCUGACGGAGCAACGCCGCGUGAGUGAAGAAGGUUUUCGGAUCGUAAAACUCUGUUGUUAGAGAAGAACAAGUGCUAGAGUAACUGUUAGCGCCUUGACGGUAUCUAACCAGAAAGCCACGGCUAACUACGUG
rnacentral:rRNA from 1 species